rnacentral:ncRNA from 1 species
GCACGUCCCCUAUCUUUUCCAAUAGGGCAGUUAACUUUUGGCGGUGGCAUUUAGGGGUAUCCCGAGGAGAGUAUUGAGCAUAGCAAUGGCAUAUACGUUUAUCUCCGUCCCUCGUGCGAUGUGUUUUUAUCGCAUUGUGUUUUUUAUCUCAUGGUGCAACUGGGCACACUUACUGCAUUAUUCAAACACUACCAUUUUGUACACUGUACUCCCAAAUUGACGUACUUCCGGCACUCAGAAAAUGUACACGUACAUUCACUGUUUCGACUUGCUGCAUUGGUUUGCAGUCCUGCGGAGUGUGGUUAUUUAACACCGUCUUUAAUAGCUCCAUAGCUAACAGGCAAAUUUUUGAUUGUCCAAAGCUCAAAAGGCUUGCUUUCGCACAAAAAGGCUUUUUUGUUU